rnacentral:rRNA from 1 species
UACGUAGGGAGCAAGCGUUGUCCGGAAUCAUUGGGCGUAAAGCGCGCGUAGGUGGCCCCAUAAGUCCGCUGUGAAAGUCAAAGGCUCAACCUUUGAAAGCCGGUGGAUACUGUGGGACUAGAGUACGGAAGAGGCGAGUGGAAUUCCUGGUGUAGCGGUGAAAUGCGCAGAUAUCAGGAGGAAAACCGGUGGCGAAGGCGGGUCUCUGGGCCGAUACUGACGCUGAGGAGCGAAAGCGUGGGGAGCGAACAGG